GAGGACACAGAGAAAUCUGGCCAAGAGCAGAGAGUGCUGAAGAGGAGCCAGAGGCCUCCCUCCAUUUACCACUUCACAGUGUGCAGUCAGGUUCCUUCUGCAUCAUUCUCCAAAAUUCGGGAGAGACCGAAGUCAGACACCUUGCACUGGAGGCUGCGUGUUACCAGGAUGUUGCGAGCAGCCAGAUCCCGGUGCACAUAAUUGUGCUCUGAAAGAAGUGAGAGAAGUGUCACCAAUCCGCCUGGUUUCUAGUCACUGACCUUAUCAACACACAGAAGUGGACAGUGGUGAACAAGCGAAAAGGCAAUGCUGCAGCCCAAAGGCUCCAACAGGUUGUCACUAAGGGACUGGUGGUGGUCUCCAGUCAUCAUUAAGCAGUUACAUUUCAACUACCAAAGAUGCCACUCUUGUCACUGAACAAAUUGGAUGGCAUUAAGCUUCUGCUGCCAACACUGGAAAUGUCAGUAAGCAGGAAGCUUCCCCCUGGUUUUAUCACCCCUUUGAACCUCACCUCGCUCAAAGCCCGAAGUAUUGUAAUCUGGCCGUGCACGUCU